GCAUAUCAAUAAGCGGAGGAAAAGAAACCAACAGGGAUUGCCCUAGUAACGGCGAGUGAAGCGGCAACAGCUCAAAUUUGAAAUCUGGCGCAAGCCCGAGUUGUAAUUUGUAGAGGAUGCUUCUGGGUAGCGACCGAUCUAAGUUCCUUGGAACAGGACGUCAUAGAGGGUGAGAAUCCCGUAUGUGACCGGCCCGCACCCUUUACGUAGCUCCUUCGACGAGUCGAGUUGUUUGGGAAUGCAGCUCUAAAUGGGAGGUAAAUUUCUUCUAAAGCUAAAUACCGGCCAGAGACCGAUAGCGCACAAGUAGAGUGAUCGAAAGAUGAAAAGUACUUUGGAAAGAGAGUUAAAAAGCACGUGAAAUUGUUGAAAGGGAAGCGCCUGCAACCAGACUUCGCGGCAGUGUUCCGCCGGUCUUCUGACCGGUUCAUUCUCUGUCGCGAGGCCAUCAUCGUCUGGGCCCGCCGGAUAAGACCUUAGGAAUGUAGCUCACCUUCGGGGGAGUGUUAUAGCCUAUGGUGAUGCGGCGAGGCUCGGGCGAGGUCCGCGCUUCGGCAAGGAUGAUGGCGUAAUGGUUGUCGGCGGCCCGUCUUGAAACACGGACCAAGGAGUCUAACAUCUAUGCGAGUGUUCGGGUGUCAAACCCCUACGCGUAAUGAAAGUGAACGGAGGUGGGAACCGCAAGGUGCACCAUCGACCGAUCCUGAUGUCCUCGGAUGGAUUUGAGUAAGAGCAUAGCUGUUGGGACCCGAAAGAUGGUGAACUAUGCCUGAAUAGGGUGAAGCCAGAGGAAACUCUGGUGGAGGCUCGCAGCGGUUCUGACGUGCAAAUCGAUCGUCAAAUUUGGGUAUAGGGGCGAAAGACUAAUCGAACCAUCUAGUAGCUGGUUCCUGCCGA
rnacentral:rRNA from 1 species